rnacentral:lncRNA from 1 species
UGGGGUUAGUAUUGUACAAAUUCAUUGGAUGACACCUGUACUGUGCUCUGUUUUGUUGAUGGUAGAUAUCGUUCUAUAUAAUUUUUGCUCCUAGGCUACACUAACAUUGCUUUGAUAUUUUGCACUUCACUUCUUCACCUGAGCUCAGAUUGAGAUUAUUCAGGCGACGUUGGAAACUCUACUUGAUGCCGGGUGUAAUAGAAGUGUGUUAAGCUUGAAA